rnacentral:rRNA from 1 species
GACGAACGCUGGCGGCGCGCUUAACACAUGCAAGUCGAACGGAAAGGCCUGCUUUCCCUUGUGGAUUGCGGGUACUCGAGUGGCGAACGGGUGAGUAACACGUGAGUGAUCUGCCCCCAACUUGGGUAUAAGCCUGGGAAACUGGGUCUAAUUCCCGAUAGGACUGCAGGGUGGUGCCUGUGGUGGAAAACGAUUUUCUAGUGGUUGGGGAUGAGCUCGCGGCCUAUCAGCUUGUUGGUGGGGUAAUGGCCUACCAAGGCGGCGACGGGUAGCCGGCCUGAGAGUGUGGACGGCCGCAGUGGGACUGAGAUACGGCCCAGACACCUACGGGAGGCAGCAGUGGGGAAUAUUGCACAGUGGGCGGAAGACUGAUGCAGCGACGCAGCGUGGGGGAUGACGGCCGUCGGGUUGUAAACUCCUUUCGACCGCGAGGAAGCCACCUGGUUGGAAGGGUGGUGACGGUAGUGGUAGAAGAAGCACCGGCUAACUACGUG